rnacentral:rRNA from 1 species
GACGAACGCUGGCGGCGUGCUUAAUACAUGCAAGUCGAACGGAAAGGCGAGGCUCUUGUGCCGUGCUCGAUUGGCGCGCAGGUGAGUGACACGUGAGUAACAUGCACUUGACUUUGGGGUAACUUCAGGAAACUGGGGCUCAUACCCGGUAGGAGCUCCUGCUGCAUGGUGGGGGUUGGAAAGUUUCGGCGGUUGGGGCUGGUCUCGCGGCUUAUCCGCUUGUUGGUCGGGUAGUGGCUUACCAAGUGUUUGACGGGUAGCCGGCCUGAGAGGGGGACCGGCGUCAUGGGGACUGAGAGACGGAGCAGACUCCUACGGGCCGCAGAAGGCGGGAGUAUUGCACAGUGGGCGGAAGCCUGUUGCAGCGACGCCGCGUUCGGGAUGACCGCCUUCGGGUUGUAAACCGCUGUCUACUGUGACGAAGCGUGAUUGACGGUAAUGGGUAAGGAAGCACCGGCUAACUACGUG